GACGAACGCUGGCGGCGUGCUUAACACAUGCAAGUCGAACGAUGAUCCUUGGAGCUUGCUCCUUGGGGAUUAGUGGCGAACGGGUGAGUAACACGUGAGUAACCUGCCCCAGACUCUGGGAUAAGCACUGGAAACGGUGUCUAAUACCGGAUACGAGCUUCAGCCGCAUGGCUAGGAGUUGGAAAGAAUUUCGGUCUGGGAUGGACUCGCGGCCUAUCAGCUUGUUGGGGAGGUAAUGGCUCACCAAGGCGACGACGGGUAGCCGGCCUGAGAGGGUGACCGGCCACACUGGGACUGAGACACGGCCCAGACUCCUACUGGAGGCAGCAGUGGGGAAUAUUGCACAAUGGGCGCAAGCCUGAUGCAGCAACGCCGCGUGAGGGAUGACGGCCUUCGGGUUGUAAACCUCUUUUAGUAGGGAAGAAGCGAAAGUGACGGUACCUGCAGAAAAAGCACCGGCUAACUACGUGCCAGCAGCCGCCGUAA
rnacentral:rRNA from 1 species